rnacentral:tRNA from 1 species
GUUUUUAUAGUUUAAAAAAAACAUUAGUCUUGUAAACUAAAAAUUAAGAAAUUAUAAAAACU